ensembl:lncRNA
GUCAGUUGGUCGCGCUGCCGCUUUGUUCUGCGCUUAGCGAGGACGCGCCGGGCUCCGCGCUGCUCCCGCCGAGGGUGCCGUGGAGUCUCUGUCAGUAUUCUGCAGACGGCCUUUACGGCUCCUCCAUCAGGGACGUCAGAUCCCAAGGGCAGCGGUUGCAGGCUGACGGAGCGGAGUUCUGCGGGGGGCCUUGGGCCGAAGCUCCGUGUUCUGAGGCAGCGCGGUUUCCCAACCGCUCCCGUCCGUGCGUGCACAGCUUUGCCACUGUGGCACGCAGCACAGGCUGGGGGAGCGCUGUGUAGAAGCCUCUAAUUCUCGGCUUAGUCCUUCCCCACCCCUUUAAUGGUGAAUGGGCCGCUGCUAUGGAGACGCCAAGCUUAGCUCAAAAUGGCUAAUAAGGCGAAUUGGAAAGAGAAGCGUGGCCAGUGCGAUCGGGGGAAGGGAAGAGGCCCUUUUUGCCUGUGCCGUAUGAGAUGCAGCCAGCAGAGAGGGAAGGGCGGCAGCCACCCACAUACAGAGAACAAAGGAAACACGGGGAUGAAGGCACUGCUCGGGGUGCAUCCUGAGGAUCAAAAAGGCCAGCGCUGCGGCUGAGCGCUUCAGGUCAUUUCACUGGGAAGAGUUUAAA